UGGGCCCAGCGCUACCGGCUCUUCUUCUGGUUCGAUGAGGGCAUCAAAUUGGAACAAGUUGAGUCACAGAGCAAACAGAACACACACACACACUUCAGGAAACACAACCGAUUUCUUCAUACAGGCUCAAGCAGAAAGGAGGCCUGGUUCUCCAUCCACCAGAGAAGAUAGCCGACCACAGUUUCCACUCAUAGACACCUUCUGUGGAGUGGGAGGCAAUGCCAUCCAGUUUGUCCUCACUGUGAAGAGAGUGCUAGCCAUUGACAU